rnacentral:rRNA from 1 species
GACGAACGCUGGCGGCGUGCUUAACACAUGCAAGUCGAACGGAAAGGCCCCUUUGGGGGUACUCGAGUGGCGCACGGGUGAGUAACACGCGAGUAACCUGCCCUUGACUUCGGGAUAACUUCAGGAAACUGGGGCUAAUACCGGCUAGGAAUCCUUGCUGCAUGGUGGGGGUUGGAAAGCUUCGGCGGUUUUGGAUGGACUCGCGGCUUAUCAGCUUGUUGGUGGGGUAGUGGCUUACCAAGGCUUUGACGGGUAGCCGGCCUGAGAGGGCGACCGGCCACAUUGGGACUGAGGAACGGCCCAGGCUCCUACGGGGGGCAGCAGGGGGGAAUAUUGCACAAUGGGCGGAAGCCUGAUGCAGCAACGCCGCGGGCGGGAUGACGGCCUUCGGGUUGUAAACCGCUUUCAGCAGGGGCGAAGCUUGUGGUGACGGUACCUGCAGAAGAAGCACCGGCUAACUACGUG